rnacentral:rRNA from 1 species
GACAGAGGGUGCAAACGUUGUUCGGAAUUACUGGGCGUAAAGCGCGUGUAGGCGGUUACUUAUGUCGGAUGUGAAAGCCCUCGGCUUAACUGAGGAAGUGCAUUCGAAACUGGGUAGCUAGAGUACUAAAGAGGGUCGCGGAAUUCCCGGUGUAGAGGUGAAAUGCGUAGAUAUCUGGAGGAACACCGGUGGCGAAGGCGGCAUCCUGGACCGAGAUUGACGCUGAGGCGCGAAAGCCAGGGGAGCAAACGGG